AGAUACCUUUUAUUAGAA
rnacentral:tRNA from 1 species